rnacentral:tRNA from 1 species
GCCUGGCUGGCUUGGUUGGAAGAGCAUGAGACUCUUGAUCUCAGGGUUGUGAGUUCGAGCCCCAUGUUGGAUG